AGAUCGCUUGAGCCUAGCUAGGAGUUUGAGGCUGAAGUGAGCUAUGGUCUCACCAGUGUACUCCAGCCUGGGCAACAGAG
rnacentral:snRNA from 1 species